GGAACGGUAACUCAGUGGUAGAGGUACGCUUGAUCCGUCACCUAAAUCAAUGAGCUCUAAUUAACCCCUUACCAGUGUAGGAUUGCAGUUGCAAAUAAUCCUGAAGUCAUCAGUUCGAUCCUGGUUCGUUCCU